CACGUAGGAGGCGAACGUUAUCCGGAUUUAUUGGGCGUAAAGCGCGUGUAGGUGGUUCUGUAAGUAGGGCGUGAAAGCUCCUGGCUCAACCGGGAGAGGCCGUUCUAUACUGCAGAGCUAGAGGAUGGUAGAGGGAGGUGGAAUUCCAGGUGUAGCGGUGGAAUGCGCAGAUAUCUGGAGGAACACCAGUGGCGAAGGCGGCCUCCUGGACCAUUCCUGACACUCAGACGCGAAAGCUAGGGUAGCAAACGGGAUUAGAUACCCGGGUAGUCCCU
rnacentral:rRNA from 1 species